ensembl:lncRNA
CAUUGAACUUCAACCAUAGUUUUAAAUUAGAAAUGAUCAGAAGCCCUUCAUUACAGCUGUAGCGAUUUGUCUUGUGUGAGAGGAUGUUAAAAUUCAGUACUGAGCUGAAACAGUCUUUAUGACUUCAUAUAUGACUUCACAGCUUCAAAAUUCCACUCUGAUACAGCCUGAAUCUCUCUCUCUCUCUCUCUUUCUCUCUCCGUCUACCUCCACUCACUCGCUCGCUCGUUCUUUCUGUCUGGCCAAGCCUCGGGUAGAAAAAUGUAGCAUAGCUUUGACAGCUAUCCCUGAUGGUUAUUUUUGGAUUCCAGGAGAAACUAUCACUAAAUGUUGUACGAGAGAUAUGUACUGUGAAGACGCUCAGAUCAUGUUCCUGCAACGCAGUUUGAGUUUGAUCUUCCAUUAUCAUCUGAUUUUUCAGCGUCAUGUCACUAUGUCAUGCCCCCUUCCUCUUCUUCCUCCUUUUGCAGUGAAUGUUUCUAUCCACGUUCUUCUAGACCCUCUGGGGAUCCACUGGUUAGCAAGAGAUGUAUUUCUACAUUUCUCCAAAUCUAUUCCACUGAAGAAAUAAACUCUACAUCUUGGAUAACCUGUGGGCCACAACUUAAACCCCAUGAGAUCCAAGUGGUCUCGCACAGUAAAUCACCUCCAGUCUUGUAUGCAG